rnacentral:misc_RNA from 1 species
AGGCGAGGAUGAUUAGCACAG